CCAAAGGCUCUUCUUAGAGCCACACAUCUUUUCAAAAGAACUUGA
rfam:Tupaia chinensis contig173138, whole genome shotgun sequence.